rnacentral:tRNA from 1 species
GCCUGUGAGGCUCAGUCCGUUAAGUGUCUGACUUCAGCUCAGGCCAUGAUCUUGCGGUUCGUGGGUUCAAGCCCCACAUCAGGCU